AUUGAACGCUGGCGGCAGGCCUAACACAUGCAAGUCGAACGAGUGGCGGACGGGUGAGUAAUGUCUGGGAAAAUGCCUGAUGGAGGGGGAUAACUACUGGAAACGGUAGCUAAUACCGCAUACCAUCGGAUGAGCCCAGAUGGGAUGAGCUAGUAGGUGGGGUAACGGCUCACCUAGGCGACGAUACCUAGCUGGUCUGGGAGGAUGACCAUCCACACUGUAACUGAGACACGGUCCAGACUCCUACGGGAGUCAUCAGUGGGGAAUAUUGCACAAUGGGCGCAAGCCUGAUGCAGCCAUGCCGCGUGUAUGAAGAAGGCCUUCGGGUUGUAAAGUACUUUCAGCGGGGAGGCGUUACCCGCAGAAGAAGCACCGGCUAACUCCGUGCCAGCAGCCGCGGUAAUUC
rnacentral:rRNA from 1 species